AUCACACUCCAUAAUAAAAUGCUCCGCAGGGCGCAGCUUGAUACGACCGCAGAGGUCGAACCCUGAACAGUUGGGGGAAGUAUGGACACAACAUUCAAGCUUGAUACAGCUUUGGAUUUGGAUUGUGAUUAAAUAUUUGACACAGCAUAGGUUUCUAACACAGAUUGAAUGUGGUCUAAGAACUUAAAAAUUUUAAAUUGGACAUUCACCUAUUAUGGUCCAAUAUCCAAAAUCUAAAUACAUGGUUAGAUUCAGCAUAUCAAAGAACCCCAAGAAUUCAAUUUUUGAUGAAAUCAAACAAAGUUUAAUUUUGGACCCUUUUGACCUCAAUGUGGACAAAGUUGAUAACGGGGCCCAAAAAUCAAAAAUCUAAAUACAUGGUUAGAUUCAGCAUAUCAAAGAACCCCAUAUAUUCAAUUUUUGUUGAAAUCAAACAAAGUUUAAUUUUGGACCCCGAUUUGGACCAACUUGAAAACUGGGCCCAUAAUCAAAAAUCUAAAUACAUGUUUAGAUUCAGCAUAUCAAAGAACCCUAAGAAUUCAAUUUUUGUUAAAAUCAAACUAAGUUUAAUUUUGGACCUUUUGGACCUUAAUGUAGACCAAUUUGAAAACGGAACCAAAAAUUAAGAAUCUAAAUACACAGUUAGAUUCAGCAUAUCAAAGAAACCCAAUAAUUCAAUUUUUGAUGAAAUCAAACAAAGUUUAAUUUUGGACCCUUUUGACCUCAAUGUGGACAAAGUUUAUAACGGGGCCCAAAAAUAAAAAAUCUAAAUACAUGGUUAGAUUCAGCAUAUCAAAGAACCCCAUAUAUUCAAUUUUUGUUGAAAUCAAACAAAGUUUAAUUUUGGACCCCGAUUUGGACCAACUUGAAAACUGGGCCCAUAAUCAAAAAUCUAAAUACAUGUUUAGAUUCAGCAUAUCAAAGAACCCUAAGAAUUCAAUUUUUGUUAAAAUCAAACUAAGUUUAAUUUUGGACCCUUUGGACCUUAAUGUAGACCAAUUUGAAAACGGAACCAAAAUUUAAGAAUCUAAAUACACAGUUAGAUUCGGCAUAUCAAAGAACCCCAAUAAUUCAAUUUUUGAUGAAAUCAAACAAAAAAGUUUAAUUUUGGACCCUUUGGACCUCAAUGUGGACCAAUUUAAAAACGGGGCCCAAAAUCCAAAAACUAAAUACACGGUUAGAUUCAGCAUAUUAAAGAACCCCAUGAAAUCAAGAAUAAAACCCCAUUGAAAUUGGUCAAGAAAUAAGCAAUUUAUAGGAAGUAUCUUCUUUUGCACAAUCCUGUGCUAUUAUAUAUUUCUUGCUAUUGCGCAAUACUGUACAAUUGACAAUUUCUUGCUAUUGCGCAAUAUUGUGCUAUUGGAUAUUUCUUGCUAUUGCGCAAUACUGUGCAAUUGAAGAUUUCUUGCUAUUGCGCAAUACUGUGCAAUUGAAGAUUUCUUGCUAUUGUGCAAUACUGUGCAAUUGAAAAUUUCUUGCUAUUGCACAAUACUUAUUAUAUAAUAAUUUACACAUCCUGUUUGGUGUGUAUCUCCUACCAUAUCAUUAUUAUUUGAUUUUAAAUAUAAAUCAGAAAUAACCAACUUAAAAUGGAAAAUUUUAAAAGAAACAAAAAAGGAAAAAAAGAAAAAAAAGGAAAAAAAAAAUAAA